CACAGUUGCCCUGCUCCUCUCAGCAACAGCCACAGGCUUCGUAGAUUUACAGAAACCAUCAUUCAGAGCAGACGCACGUGGAAGGUGGAGAAACCCUCUCUAGUAUGUACCUAAUAGCUGUAGUUCUGCGAGUUCUCAGAUGGGCCUACAGCACCUGAGCAGCAGUGCCUGGGAACCCAGAAGCUGAGCCAGGCACAGGAAGGACCCUUCCACAUGGUCCUGUGUGAGUUAGAUUUUUCAAACCAAGAACCUAUUUUUCCCUGAGCUCCAAAAGAACAAAUUAACCUUAGGUUAAUAAGAAAAAGUCACUGGCAAAGGAAUGAAAAAGUGGCUUGGGUCUAAAGAUUGGGGUCUACUCGCCAAAACCCAGGUUCCAGAAGAUGAGAAUAGAUGAAUACCUUUCUCCGUUUUAUCAGGUCUUAAAAGCUUCUAUGCAGCACUUUCUCAUCAGAUGGUCACCAUGAUAAUACAACAUCAAAGAAUUAAGAAGCUCUUAUGAUACAAUUGACUAUGGAGACACGUGAGCAAUCAUCAAGCAGUGAAGAUCUGAAUCUCUAGCCCUAACUUUUGGCCAAAUUCCUUGCAAGGGAGAGAAUGACCAAAAGAGGGGACUGAGAGACUGAAUACACAAACAGACAAUGGAUAGAUCACGGGGACAUUAGAACACUGAUCUACAACCUCUGCUGGAAUUAACCAAUGACGCCAACCACAAUCUCGGCAGCAGUUGACCCCAAACAUUCAGGACUUAGUUAAUACAGGAAUUCUGUCACAUGGCAAAAUCCACCAAGACACACCAAUUUCGGCAUCUGGGAGCAGCUGGACGAUGCACACAGGUGAUCUAAUAAAUCGAAGCAAUCAGAGCGACAGC